UACAGAGGGGGCAAGCGUUGUUCGGAAUUACUGGGCGUAAAGGGCGCGUAGGCGGCCUGUUAAGUCAGACGUGAAAUCCCUCGGCUCAACCGGGGAACUGCGUCUGAUACUGGCGGGCUUGAAUUCGGGAGAGGGAUGUGGAAUUCCAGGUGUAGCGGUGAAAUGCGUAGAUAUUCGCAAGAACACCAGUGGCGAAGGCGGCUCACUGGCCCGAUACUGACGCUGAGGUGCGAAAGCGUGGGGAGCAAACAGG
rnacentral:rRNA from 1 species